rnacentral:rRNA from 1 species
CCUACGGGAGGCAGCAGUGAGGAAUAUUGGUCAAUGGACGAGAGUCUGAACCAGCCAAGUAGCGUGAAGGAUGACUGCCCUAUGGGUUGUAAACUUCUUUUAUAUGGGAGUAAACUGUUCCACGUGUGGGCUUUUGUAUGUACCAUAUGAGUAAGGAUCGGCUAACUCCGUGCCAGCAGCCGCGGUAAUACGGAGGGUCCGAGCGUUACCCGGAUUUAUUUGGCUUAAAGGGCGCGUAGGUGGAUUGUCAAGUCAGUUGUGAAAGUUUGCGGCUCAACCGUAAAAUUGCAGUUGAAACUGGCAGUCUAGAGUACAGUAGAGGUGGGUGGAAUUCGUGGUGUAGCGGUGAAAUGCUUAGAGAUCACGAAGAAUUCCGAUUGCGAAGGCAGCUCACUGGACUACAACUGACACUGAGGCGCGAAAGUGUGGGGAGCAAACAGGAUUAGAUACCCGGGUAGUC